rnacentral:lncRNA from 1 species
GCGGGCGGGCGCCCCCCGGCGCUGCCCCGGAUCCUGUCAGGGGCGGCGCGGGCGGGCGCGUCUCUCGUCCCCCGUCUCCCCCCCGCCGGCCUCGCUCCCCGAGGCGGCGCAGGGGGGUUUAAGCCCCUCGUCCUCCCCCCUCGGCAGCCCCUCCGCGCACCUCAGGCCGCCGCUGCUUUGCCAGCCGCCCCGAGGAGGGAGGAGAGCCCCCGACAAACUUGCUUCGCGGCCUCCUCGGGGCCCGCCGGCCUCUCUUCAGUCCCUCAGGGGCUCGAGUGAGCACAGUUGUUCUCUUGUUUCAGGACGGCGAUAUCCUCUUUCAAGGAAAUACUUAAAUUUUAAGUUAUAUAGGAGCGCACUGUUCACGCGCUUGUCGGUGGUUGAGUGCGUUCACCCUCACGAGUACCACAGCGAAGCCCGGCAAUAGUCACCCCCUUUUCCCAGGGAAGCGCUCUGGGGAAGGAAAAGGCACAAAGGACAAGAUUUAAAAUCACGGGCUAGUUAACUUUGAUAGCCUAAAUCCGAAAUGGUCAUUUUAAAAAAAAUCACUGUUAAUUUUUUAAAAUGACUUGUUAACCGGCCGCUUGGCUUGGAGGGCGGCUGAGCUCGGUCCUCCCCCCGCUGCCGGCCCCGAGCGGCRCCGGCGCAAGCAGGACGGGCGACGGAGACGGAGCCUCAGUGACCUCCUCGGACUCACACUUGGACGUGUCGGUCUUUUAGGACAGCGCUGUAGGCUUGACCGGCUUGCAAACGCGCUCGACGCCUUCAGUCGAAGCUGGACCACCGUGCAGCGACGGAGGAGAGAAAGGAGGAAGGAAGAACGAUUUCAGUUGUUUCGUAAUUACUGGUCUCGGAGCACUGUUGAUGCUCUUGCCGGAAAAGCCUUCAUCCAAAGAUGUCGAAGUGUUCCAGCCUCAGAACAAACUUGUGAAGAAGAUAUUGUUAUCCCCAUCUUUUACACUGCAAAGCUGAGGCAGUAUUUGAGUUGCCAAAUUCACAGAUUAGUCACUGGGUGAACAGGCCUAAAAACAAAUAGUUCAUGUCUCCAGGGCUCUAUCCUAAGUGUACAAGAAAAUACCUACUUUCUAUCAUGUGUAAUAUAACCUAUAGUUUUUAUUUACAGGUUUCAUAGAUAUUCUUUUUUAGAUAGCUUUUCAAAUAUCUUUGCCUCAAUAAAUAAUGACAAUUCCUGAGUAUUUAUAACUUU